rnacentral:rRNA from 1 species
GAUGAACGCUGACAGAAUGCUUAACACAUGCAAGUCUUUGGCGAAUCUGUGCUUGCACAGGCUAGCCAAGGCGGACGGGUGAGUAACGCGUAAAGAACUUGCCCUGCAGACAGGGAUAACAGACGGAAACGACUGAUAACACCUGAUACAGUUGCCGGCACGCAUGUGCCUGGCAAUGAAAAGAGAUGCUGCAGGAGAGCUUUGCGUCCUAUUAGCUUGUUGGUGAGGUGACGGCUCACCAAGGCGAUGAUAGGUAGCCGGCCUGAGAGGGUGAACGGCCACAAGGGGACUGAGAUACGGCCCUUACGCCUACGGGAGGCAGCAGUGGGGAAUAUUGGACAAUGGGGGCAACCCUGAUGCAGCAAUUCUGUGUGCACGAAGAAGGUUUUCGGAUUGUAAAGUGCUUUCAGCAGGGAAGAAGAAAGUGACGGUACCUGCAGAAGAAGCGACGGCUAAAUACGUG